UACAGAGGGUGCGAGCGUUGUCCGGAAUCACUGGGCGUAAAGGGCGCGUAGGCGGGUCUUUUAAGUCAGGGGUGAAAUCCUGGAGCUCAACUCCAGAACUGCCUUUGAUACUGAGGAUCUUGAGUUCGGGAGAGGUGAGUGGAACUGCGAGUGUAGAGGUGAAAUUCGUAGAUAUUCGCAAGAACACCAGUGGCGAAGGCGGCUCACUGGCCCGAUACUGACGCUGAGGCACGAAAGCGUGGGGAGCGAACAGG
rnacentral:rRNA from 1 species